GGUGCCUGUUCAGUGGUAAAGCACUUGCCCAGCAUGCAUGAGGCUAUGGGUUCAACCCCCAUCAACA
rnacentral:tRNA from 1 species